NCGACCCCAGGUCAGACGGGACUACCCGCUGAAUUUAAGCAUAUC
rnacentral:rRNA from 1 species